rnacentral:misc_RNA from 1 species
GAAAUGCGAUAAGUAAUGUGAAUUGCAGAAUUCAGUGAAUCAUCGAAUCUUUGAACGCACCUUGCGCCCUUUGGUAUUCCGAGGGGCAUGCCUGUUUGAGUGUCAUUAAAUACCAUCAACCCUCUUAUGACUUCGGUCUCGAGAGUGGCUUGGAAGUGGAGGUCUGCUGGAGCCUAACGGAGCCAGCUCCUCUUAAAUGUAUUAGCGGAUUUCCCUUGCGGGAUCGCGUCUCCGAUGUGAUAAUUUCUACGUCGUUGACCAUCUCGGGGCUGACCUAGUCAGUUUCAAUAGGAGUCUGCUUCUAACCGUCUCUUGACUGAGACUAGCGACUUGUGCGCUAACUUUUGACUUGACCUCAAAUCAGGUAGGACUACCCGCUGAACUUAAGC